rfam:Pteropus alecto contig15823, whole genome shotgun sequence.
GGCUACGGCCAUGCCACCCUGAACAUGCCAGAUCUCGUCUGAUCUCGGAAGCUAAGCAGGGUCGAGCCUGGUUAGUACUUGGAUGGGAGACCACCUAGGAAUAACAGGUGUUGUAGGCU